rnacentral:rRNA from 1 species
AUUGAACGCUGGCGGCAUGCCUUACACAUGCAAGUCGAACGGCAGCACGGGUGCUUGCACCUGGUGGCGAGUGGCGAACGGGUGAGUAAUACAUCGGAACAUGUCCUGUAGUGGGGGAUAGCCCGGCGAAAGCCGGAUUAAUACCGCAUACGAUCUACGGAUGACAGCGGGGGACCUUCGGGCCUCGCGCUAUAGGGUUGGCCGAUGGCUGAUUAGCUAGUUGGUGGGGUAAAGGCCUACCAAGGCGACGAUCAGUAGCUGGUCUGAGAGGACGACCAGCCCCACUGGGACUGAGACACGGCCCAGACUCCUACGGGAGGCAGCAGUGGGGAAUUUUGGACAAUGGGCGAAAGCCUGAUCCAGCAAUGCCGCGUGUGUGAAGAAGGCCUUCGGGUUGUAAAGCACUUUUGUCCGGAAAGAAAUCCUUGGCCCUAAUACGGUCGGGGGAUGACGGUACCGGAAGAAUAAGCACCGGCUAACUACGUG